rnacentral:rRNA from 1 species
UACAGAGGUCUCAAGCGUUGUUCGGAUUCAUUGGGCGUAAAGGGUGCGUAGGCGGCGCGGUAAGUCGGGUGUGAAAUCUCGGAGCUUAACUCCGAAACUGCAUUCGAUACUGCAGUGCUUGAGGACUGGAGAGGAGACUGGAAUUUACGGUGUAGCGGUGAAAUGCGUAGAUAUCGUAAGGAAGACCAGUGGCGAAGGCGGGUCUCUGGACAGUUCCUGACGCUGAUGCGCGAAAGCGUGGGGAGCAAACGGG